AGAUCAUACCAUCUCUAAUUUCUUCACAACAGCUGCUCCACCGGAAACUUUUUGGCUUGAAUCAUCUCUAACUCUACAUUGGCUCAGCUAUCUUUCUCUUGCUGAGUGUGCUCCUUUCUUAGCGAGAGCCCGUGAAUGUGCUUGGACGAAGGUGACAUCAUUUCUGUCCUUGCUGUUUUCAGUGGCUGCUUUCAUCCUCUUAAUGAUAGACACCAAUCAAGU